AGAUAAUUUACCAAACAAAAUUAUUCGCCAGAGAACUACUAGCAAUCGCUUAAAACUCAAAGGACUUGGCGGUGCUUUAAACCCCCUAGAGGAGCCUGUUCUAUAACCGAUAAACCCCGAUAAACCUCACCACCCCUUGCUAAUCCAGUCUAUAUACCGCCAUCUUCAGCGAACCCUUAAAAGGAAAAAAAGUAAGCAUAAUUAUCUCACAUAAAAAAGUUAGGUCAAGGUGUAACCUAUGGGAUGGGAAGAAAUGGGCUACAUUUUCUACUCAAGAAUAGUCUACGAAAAUUUUUAUGAAACUAAAAACUAAAGGCGGAUUUAGUAGUAAACUAAGAAUAGAGAG
rnacentral:rRNA from 1 species